rnacentral:rRNA from 1 species
GUGAGGAAUAUUGCGCAAUGGAGGCAACUCUGACGCAGCCAUGCCGCGUGCAGGAAGAAGGCGCUACGCGUUGUAAACUGCUUUUAACCGGGAAGAAACCCCAGGACGUGUCCUGGGUUGACGGUACCGGAGGAAUAAGCACCGGCUAACUUCGUGCCAGCAGCCGCGGUAAUACGAAGGGUGCAAGCGUUAUCCGGAUUCAUUGGGUUUAAAGGGUGCGUAGGCGGAGCGUUAAGUCAGUGGUGAAAUCCUGCAGCUUAACUGUAGACUUGCCAUUGAUACUGGCGCUCUUGAGUGCGCUUGAAGUGGGCGGAAUGUGCCGUGUAGCGGUGAAAUGCUUAGAUAUGGCACAGAACACCAAUUGCGAAGGCAGCUCACUAAGGCGAUACUGACGCUGAGGCACGAAAGCGUGGGGAUCGAACAGGAUUAGAUACCCCAGUAGUCC